AAAACUUUGUUUGCAUUUCCUGAAAUUCAUUUCAAUAAAUAUUAUUUUAGAUGUUUAGAGGCAUAGAGGCAUUGGGCCUUUGUGCUCCUCCCCUAAGAGUAUCUUCCUUUGGUCUCACUGUGUGUUUGUGUGUGUGUGUGUGUGUGUGUGUGUGUGUGUGUGUGUGUG